UGUUAAUCUCUCAGAGAAGGUGACAGU
rnacentral:piRNA from 2 species